rnacentral:rRNA from 1 species
UACGUAGGGGGCGAGCGUUGUCCGGAAUCAUUGGGCGUAAAGUGCGUGUAGGCGGCCCGGUAAGUCCGCUGUGAAAGUCCAGGGCUCAACCCUGGGAUGCCGGUGGAUACUGUCGGGCUCGAGUCCGGAAGAGGCGAGUGGAAUUCCUGGUGUAGCGGUGAAAUGCGCAGAUAUCAGGAGGAACACCAAUGGCGAAGGCAGCUCGCUGGGACGUGACUGACGCUGAGACGCGAAAGCGUGGGGAGCAAACAGG